ACGGAACAAGAAUCUGUAUCGAAACGUCGCACUCUCGAAAUAGAAGAAGUUGUAAUCCAUAAAGUUUCUUUAAUAUUGUACUUCUCAACUUCUAACAUGUCACCCAAAGAAGGAGAUCAUAACUCUUUCAAACAGUCCU